rnacentral:lncRNA from 1 species
GUGGUCGCGGAGACUACCUCUGUGAUCGAUGAUUUCGGGGACUUUGCUCCCACUUUGGAGCUCCGGCAGCUUAUUCCGGCUGUGGAUUACUCCGGCGGGAUCUCUACUUAUCCUCUCUUGGUUCUCCAGGUAAUUAUCUAAUUAACAUAUUGGUCCGAUUAGACUGCUUAUUCUUUCAGUAUUCAAUUUUGCAUUUAAUUAUUGGAUAAUGAGUCUGGAAGUUAAAUUCGGUGUUUAUCAUGUCCGAACCGAAAUAUUUAGGCAAAGGUAAACCAAAAACCGAAUGUGGAAAUUCAGUAACCAAAAAGUGUUUAAAUUUUCGAGUAAUUUGGUUUUGUUUCGAUCAUUAUUUCGGUUUUUUUGUAUACCAAGUAACCAUAUGAGCAAAUGUUUGUUUUAUUUUAUUUUAUUCAUACCGAACCAAAUCAAACUUUUCUUCUUGAUUAAUACAACCAUGGAUGAAUUAAUUAAUCAAUCAAGCAUUUACUUACAGUAGAGCGAUCUCUAAUUUUACUCAAUACUAAAAAAAAUUCAGGUGACAUACUUCAAGUGCGGCGGAGUCUCACUGGGAGUCGGGAUGCAACACCAUGCCGCCGACGGCUUCUCCGGCCUGCACUUCGUCAACACAUGGUCCGACAUGUCCAGAGGACUCGACCUCACCCUCCCACCAUUCAUCGACAGGACACUCCUCCGUGCUCGGGACCCGCCCCGACCCGCUUUCCAGCACAUCGAGUACCAGCCUCCUCCCUCCUUGAAAACCAUCUCCUCCUCCGCCACCGCUGCAUCCGAUUCCGACGCAGUGAAAGCCUCCGACGCCGGCGUCAAGCCUCUGAAAGCCUCCGACGCCGGCGUCACGCCGCCAGCAGCUGUGUCGAUAUUCAAGCUGACCCGGGACGAGCUCAACGCCCUGAAAGCUAAAUCGAAAGAAGCAGGAAACACCAUCAGCUACAGCUCCUAUGAAAUGCUCGCCGGCCACGUCUGGCGGUGCGCCUGCAAAGCAAGGGGACUCGCCGACGACCAAGACACAAAAUUGUACAUCGCCACCGACGGCAGGUCCCGCCUCCGCCCUCCACUCCCCGAGGGAUACUUCGGGAACGUGAUAUUCACGAC